UACGGAGGGGGCUAGCGUUGUUCGGAAUUACUGGGCGUAAAGGGCGCGUAGGCGGUUGGAUAAGUCAGCUGUGAAAACCACGGGCUUAACUCGUGGCCUGCAGUUGAGACUGUCUGGCUUGAGUGUGGGAGAGGAGAGUGGAAUUCCUGGUGUAGCGGUGAAAUGCGUAGAUAUCAGGAGGAACACCGGUGGCGAAGGCGGCCCUCUGGACCACAACUGACGCUGAGGCGCGAAAGCUAGGGGAGCAAACGGG
rnacentral:rRNA from 1 species